rnacentral:rRNA from 1 species
UACGAAGGGGGGCUAGCGUUGUUCGGAAUUACUGGGCGUAAAGGGCGCGUAGGCGGCCCUCCAAGUCAGAUGUGAAAGCCCCGGGCUUAACCUGGGAAUUGCAUUUGAGACUGAAGGGCUUGAGUUUCGGAGAGGUGGGUGGAAUUCCCAGUGUAGAGGUGAAAUUCGUAGAUAUUGGGAAGAACACCGGUGGGCGAAGGC